rnacentral:rRNA from 1 species
CAAUCACUUGUCCUUUAAAUGGGGACCUGUAUGAAUGGCACGACGAGGGUUUAACUGUCUCCUUUCUCCAGUCAGUGAAACUGAUCUCCCCGUGCAGAAGCGGGGGUAACCCUAAAAGACGAGAAGACCCUAUGGAGCUUCAGACAAAAAGUGGUUUAUUUUAAGCUGGGGCCCACCAAAACCCUAAGCUUACUUAACCCCCACUCCCAGUCUUUGGUUGGGGCGACCGUGGGGAAAAGAAGAUCCCCCAUGAGGACUUAGAUCACCCAUCUAAAAGCCCAGAGAGACAUCUCCAAGCAUCAAAAAAUUUGACCAGUAGAUCCGGCCAAAGGCCGAUCAACGAACCGAGUUACCCUAGGGAUAACAGCGCAAUCCUCUCCCAGAGCCCC